UACUCUCAACAAAACUGCUAGCUAAAGAAUCCCACAUCGGCUAAAAAUGUCUCUAUUGUCCCAACUUUGUUCUAUAAAUUAAGGGGAGUUCAAGACUUCAAAAUAUAAUUGCAUAGAAAUCUAAAGUAAAGGUUUGAACGUCUGGGCUUGCCUGGACCUAGUCUGUGCCUGGCCUGGCCUUGCCAACAGGCCUUGAUAGAUCAUGUUUUUUUUUCUUUUAUCUGGCCUGGUCCGGCCUGUUACUAUUUAAGGUUGGGCCUGGCCCGACCUGGUCAAUGAUCAAAACCUGAAAGGCCUAAAUCAGAUCAGACCAAGCUGCAUGUUUGUGCAUCCCUAAUUCGAUGCCACUUAAUUUAUGUUUAGAUUACUAAAGUAGGCAUAGAUCGGAUGGUAACCGUAACACCACCCCCUUGGUACAUAAAAAAGUGUGGGAUUAAACCCCCUCCUCCAAAUGUUAUACUGAAUCAAUAGUACCCAAAAAAAAA
rnacentral:lncRNA from 1 species